CCUACGGGUGGCAGCAGUGGGGGAUAUUGCACAAUGGGGGGAACCCUGAUGCAGCGACGCCGCGUGGGUGAAGGAGUGCUUCGGCAUGUAAAGCCCUAUCGGCAGGGAAGAAGCAAGACGGUACCUGACCAAGAAGCCCCGGCUAACUACGUGCCAGCAGCCGCGGUAAUACGUCGGGGGCGAGCGUUAGCCGGAUUCACUGGGUGUAAAGGGAGUGUAGACGGUCAUGGAAGCCAGGGGUGAAAGCCCGGGGCCCCCCCCCGGGACUGCCGUUGAAACUGCAUGGCUGGAGUGCGGGAGGGGCAGGCGGAAUGCGUGGUGUAGCGGUGAAAUGCGUAGAUAUCAGGAGGAACACCGACGGCGAAGGCGGCCUGCUGGACCGCGACUGACGUUGAGGCACGAAAGCGUGGGGAGCGAACAGGAUUAGAUACCCUUGUAGUC
rnacentral:rRNA from 1 species